CUUGUUUAUGGUCUCAAAGACAGGAGGCCAAAUUCCUCAGCUGACAUUUUUGCUGUCAGGACAUGCCAAUGUUGUUCACUUUUUGUUUUGCUUUGCUUAUGAUCAUCUGGUACCUUGAGAUGACACUGAGUGUGCCAGGCUGUAAGGUGGAGAUGUGGGUGGGAGCAGGCAACAGACUGGCCCUGAUAUUCCGGAGCUGACCACAUUCUCUGACGUCAGCUGUCUCUCUGUUCAUCUCCUCUGAAGGGCAAUGGGCUCCGUGAGGGGAGAGCCGAAGUCUGUGAAUGCCCAGCUUCUGAGAUACUGUAAAUACUGUUGACUGCAUGAACGGGUGAAUUGCAAGUGAGUUGUUGAACACAGUGGCAAGGAGGUUCCUUACUAUCUUGGAACCCCCUCCUCUGGCAGGGAAAGUGAUUACCAACCUGGAGGUCAACCAGGCCAAGAGGGCUUUGAGAUCUAUGACACCAUCUCCAUCUACUGGGUUUGGGUUAGAUGUUUAAGUUGCUCAACCUUCCUCUGAAAUCAUAACAAUUGCAAUGAAUGACGGCCCACCAGGCACUGCCCUGGCUUUUUGCACACACUAUCUCUUACCCUAUAAGGACGAUGUGGGAUGGCCAUUGUCAUGUUCAUUUCCCAGAGGUGAAAAUUAACACUCAGAAAGAUUAGGCAUCUUGCUCAAGGUUAGAAUGGGGUAAAGCCAGUCAUUCAAUUUAUUUAUUCAACAAAUAUUCAUUGCCAGCCUGCUAUAGGCCAAGCCCCUGGCACCAUUCCAAGUUCCAGGAGACUAGCAGUGAGAAAAAUAGACAAGAAUUCCUGCUCUCCAGGAGCUUCAGUUCUAAUGGAGGAAACAGAGCAACAUGCAAGAUAAAACACACAGCAUGCCAGAGGUUGGGCAUCUGGGACCUCUUUUUCAAGUUCACCUUCUCCUGGUCUGAAAUCAAAAUGAAAACAAACAGAAUCCAAGUGUGCUGUAGCUCCUGACUCCCCUCCGUGGGCUCGGCCAGCCCCUGCGUGGAAGCCUCCGCAUGGGUUCACUAGGCUGUUGUUCGGGCUCUCCCGAAGUGCCUGCUUUUCCGACAAUAGUCACGGAGACAUUUGAAAGACAACAGAAUCGAUCUUGGAGAAACAGAGAUGUGGGCGCUAUUGCACUUCAGAGAAUUUAUUGCGAGGUUGGACUUUUAUGAAUCUUUGCCAUACAUAUUCUGUUGCUUAAGGUUUUUUGUAACAAUGUAUGUAUCUAUUGCUUUAUGUGAAAGACACUUCUCAAAAUUAAAAUCACUAAACAGUGUUCUGUGAUUAACCAGGAACAAAGGGAGAUGGACAACUGCUCAAUGAACAUGAAACUAUGAAGAUCAAUUUUUUUUCAAGGUCAUGGACAAAUUAAAGUAGUUAAGUGUUAAAAACAGAGACCAUCAUGUCAUUCCUCAUGACUACAAUAGACCAAUAGGUAACUCUAAGUGUAUUUCCUUUUAAAAAAAUUAACUAACAAAAAUGUAGUUAAAGGUGCUAAUCCACUACUUUUGAUACUGUAAUAUUUACUGUCGUAUUUAUUUUUCUAUUUUAUGGGCAUAGCCAUCCACAGAAGGGUCAGUAAGAGAGAAAUUUCACUGCUUUCCUCUUCUAUCCAUUAUUUUUGUUGUUUCAUUUCAUAGCUAUUACUAAAAAUAAUGUCGCAGAGAAGCAGGGUGAUAAAAGGAUCCUCUCUGGGGGUCAAUCCAUGAGGAAAGCUGGAGAAAUAUCUGCUGAACAGAGUUCAUGGCUUCAUGUUCUAUCCGAGCAAGUCUCAUCCUGCUGUCGGCUCUCUUGAGGCUGAGCCAGGUCUUUGCACACCUUUCCUCUGGCUGAUGCUUUUAAAUUCCCUCUGUCUUCGUCUCUGCUAUUGAGUUCGGUCUCCUCCGUGAGUCCCCCACGGGGCCUGGUGAGGACAGGUUCUGUGUGAGCAGCUUUCUGUUUUGAGCCUGUGAUGUCUGGCCAAGGAACGCCUGUCAGCUGCCUGGGCUCCAUCUCAGUCCAGAGGCGUCUUGCUGUGUGGUCUUAAAGCAGGUCACUUCACCUCUCGGUAUCUCUCUCUGUAAAACCCAGAUAAUAAUACUUCCCAAAUAAAGAAAGGGUUUUCUUUAAGCCCUUUGAGCUCCUCAGAUGGAGCGCACCACAGAAAUGCCAAAUGCGGCAUUGUGAUCCGCGCUGCCUCCAUGUGAUUAGGUAAUGUGAGAUUGGGGUUCAUUAUGCUUUGUCUGGAAUGAAUGCGAGCCCUGCCACAAAGCACUGGGAACUCUCAGUUACAUAGAAACCCCAUGGUAAGCUUGGAUUGGCUUACACUUAAAUAAAGCACACCAGAAAAGAGCAGUAGUUUUGACGAACCCGGCCCUCAAUUAACACUCAUUUGAUUUCUUCUGCUGAGUGCGGGCCAUAAGUAAAAGAUGACCCAGUGACAGGUGCAGGGGGCAUAAGCAACACUCUGAGGUGGCUGAGCUGGGAGAAGGGCAGCUCCUCUGCAAAAUGCUUCAGGCUCCCAAGGAGGCAGGCCCAGAGUGGGCAGGUCUGGACUUACCGCUGCACAGAGAAGGGGGAAAUUCAGUAGCUACCAUUUAUUGAGUUUCUACUAGGUGCCAAGAACUCUGCAAUGUAUGUCAUUCUUCUAAACCCUCCAGACAACGGUAUUAAACCAUAUUAAUAUUCUGAAAACCAAAACAAACGCCCACUACACUUGAAACAUUUUUUUUUUUGUACAUAAUGAAAGCCUUUAUCUGUUUGGGGCCACAGUUUCAGCCAGAAUUUUGACCUGGGGCCUCCUCACUGAUCCUGAGGCUUUAAGACCACACAGCAUGGGUCUGCGAAUUGCAAAUGGGAGGCUGACUUUUCCCAUUCUUAUCCAGGCCUCCAGAAAUGGCUCUGGAGCUAGAUCCAGCCUCCUUUCUUCUGAGGCCUUGGAUACGUCCUACUUGGCUUGACAAACUUUUACCAGAAUCCUCUGAUCCUAUUUCACAGUUGGUGCAAAGGUAGGAUCUUGGUUGUGUCUUCCUUCAAGCUGAUUAUGAACCAGGGGUGGAGAGUAGGAAGUAAGGAGCCCUGGAAUCAGAGAAGUCAGGGGCAAGCAUCUUUUUGGCUUGAGGUUCUACAAGAACCAUAAACCAAGUAGUGUGCAUACUAAGAAAACAGGCUGGACAACAAGAGGAGAGAGGGAGGGUCCUUAGGAUUGGCUGCUUGUACCAUGGCCCCCAGUGGCUCACUAGAAACAAGGGGAAUCCCGGGUAAGAAGACUCCUUCACUCCCCAGUGAGGAAUCUAUUGUGUCAAUUGCUGGGAAACAUGCUCAGUUGAACUGACCCUCUAUCACCAUACGUGUGUGUGGAAUCCAUUGUUAGGGAAACCAUGGUGAGAAGGGAAGUGAGAUGCUCUGGAUGGGUGCUGAGCUGAGUGCUGACGGAAUGGGCCUUCCAGAAGAGAUUGCAUAUUAUCCAAGGAACUGUCGUUGCCUGGAGAGUCCUGGGCUGACUUGCUCUCUUAGGAGCUGAUGUUUAGGGAAUGGGAGAAGCAGCUGGUUUAAAACAUCAAACAAUGUGAACUUCAGAAUCUGCCAAAUCCUAAACGUUUCUUGCCAAGCACCAUUUUUUCUAGAUUGUGAACUCAUCUGUGCUUCAAAAGCAAUUUUGUUUAAAUGACUUCUUCCUCUUACUCCUAAUCCUUGGGAAGCUGUAAUACACAGGCGGUAAAGGGGACUCCCCAAGAGAUACUCACUACGGCUGCUGUGAGCCAGACACUGGGCUGACACUGCAUAGCACCGAGGGUGUGGGAGACCAGAAGUCAGGAACCUGCUUUCUCAGGGGAGGGGCUGGGUCCCUGCAAGGAAACAACGUGUGGUGUGUGUGGCUUCAUGAUCCACUGGCCGAGGUCUCACAGCAGAUCAUUUUGCAAAUUUCUCCUUCCUUUCCUUUUCUUUCCUUUCCUUCCCUUCCUUCCUUCCUUCCUUCCUUCCUUCCUUCC